CCUACGGGCGGCAGCAGUGGGGAAUAUUGCACAAUGGGCGCAAGCCUGAUGCAGCCAUGCCGCGUGUGUGAAGAAGGCCUUCGGGUUGUAAAGCACUUUCAGCGGGGAGGAAGGCGUUAAGGUUAAUAACCUUGUCGAUUGACGUUACCCGCAGAAGAAGCACCGGCUAACUCCGUGCCAGCAGCCGCGGUAAUACGGAGGGUGCAAGCGUUAAUCGGAAUUACUGGGCGUAAAGCGCACGCAGGCGGUCUGUCAAGUCGGAUGUGAAAUCCCCGGGCUCAACCUGGGAACUGCAUUCGAAACUGGCAGGCUAGAGUCUUGUAGAGGGGGGUAGAAUUCCAGGUGUAGCGGUGAAAUGCGUAGAGAUCUGGAGGAAUACCGGUGGCGAAGGCGGCCCCCUGGACAAAGACUGACGCUCAGGUGCGAAAGCGCGGGGAGCAAACAGGAUUAGAUACCGGGUAGCC
rnacentral:rRNA from 1 species